rnacentral:lncRNA from 1 species
UGAAAAUUAGUUUUAAAUUGAAAUGAAUGAACUGAAAUAUGUCCACCAUGAAAUUUACCAUUUAAGCAACAUAACUUGUGUUCCCGAAUUUAACAACUUGGCCAAGAAAACAGAGUGAAAUCUUUGCCAUAGUGAGAGCUAUUGUAUUACAAAUGCUCGUUCAUACGUCAAUCAUAAUACAUGAACUGAAUGUUAUUCAAGGCAUAGCUUAAAAUAAGGAAGCUUGAAUCAUCUCAUUUUCAUUCAUUCUUGACCCAAAAAUAGUACAUUAGUUGAAGGAAUUACCUGGUCAGCAGAAAAGAAGAUAUCAACCGAGAACGAAAUGGAUUUUAACAAAUAAAGUCAGCAACAAUAGCAACACAACAACGGGAUAAACAACAAUUUAAACCAAAGUGAACCAAAAACUUUGACAAAAAAUUCAGCAUCUUGAGAAAGAAAGAAAUAAGAUUGGCUUCAAGCACUUUAAGUAUCUUCGCUAAGUUUUUCCAUAAGAUUGGCUAACACUCAAACAACUCUCAGGUUUUGCAACUUACUAUGAGUGUUCAAUUGAUAUUUUACUCUCUCAUAUGUAUAAAAAAGGAUGUUUUGAACAAUGUGUAAAAGAUGUCUUUCUUAGAGUCCAAGAUCUUUUUUUCCAAAUGAGGAAAGAGCUCCUCUUUUUAUAUGGGGAGGAAGGACCUUGGGACAGAUUUUAUUUGGCCAAAAAUCUGUCCAAAAUGAUGGAUUUUUGACUAACAAUUUGUCCAAAAUCAGAAUUUUGGUCAAUGUACAGUUUUCUUACUAAUUGUGGACAGAAUUUUGGAGUAUUGUACUCCAAACAGCUCGCAACAGUAAAAGCAACCAAACAAAGAACCCUACACUCAAGUAUUUCUUACUAUUUCAGUUUUUAAUCAAUACAUGACUUAUUUAAGCUAAAAACUCAAACUAAAAUCAUGCUCAAAGGAAGAUAAGGUCAAGCUUAACAAAUCAUUCAAUGAAUCGACUAAACCCGAUGAAUUAAACAAUCCACCAAUUUAAAUUGAAUCCAUCAUUUGUAGUCGCGACUAACUGAAUAUUCAAAAAAACGACCAAACAAUCGACCAGCGAGGUCGAGGAACAAAUAUCCAGGAGUAACAAGCACGAACAACCAAACAAUCGACCGGCUAGGUCGAUAAAACUAAAAGUUCAGUAAUAACAAAUGCAUAUGAAAUAGUCGACCAGCUAGGUCGAAGAACCAAAAAUCAAAACUGACAAACUAUAUACGAGCCAAUCAACCGGCAAGGUUGAAAAACUAAUUUAAAGUUAUGAAGAAACAUGUGAUUCCAGAAUAACAACGAAUUACUGAAAUAAAAUACAGUGAUAAUACAACUAACAAAAUCAUGACUAUUAUUAAUCCCUAAACCUAAUGACAAAUACAAAUGAAGAAUCAGAGAAGAAGAAGAGAGAAGAAAAAAGAAAGAGGGAAUAGGGUUAUACCAGACGAUGGAAGUCGAUGCCAAAUCAAACGAGGAGAUGCGAAGGAAGAUGAGCUGUGACUGUCCGUCAUUAAAGCGCAUAUUUCCUUUUAGCAGGCGCCAAAACAAACAAGGUUUGGCAUCAUGCUAGAAGGAAACGAGUGCCUUUAAGUCGAGAUGAAGCUUGGAGAAACAGUGGUGGUCUUGGGUGGUGGAACAGCGGCACUGUCACGGCAGUGGUGGUGGAUGCCGGUGCCGAUGCAUUUUUUGGGGUGAAACCAACAUAGGAUGAUAGAUCACGUGGAUCUUUACAUGCCUAGGUAAGUAUUUUAUGAAGGAGAAGUCUAAAACUUGACGAAUUUACAAAAUAAAUUGGGCUAGGGUUUCGGAUUUUGGUUUAUUCGUGGAGUUUGGGUGGGAUUCAAAGGAUUUGGUUCAUGGAUUUGGAAAGAGGAGGUUGAGAUGAGUAGGGGUGAAAUUUUGGUGGUGUUUGGAGGGGCUCCACCGUCAGUGGCGAAUUCCGGCGGGCGCC